rfam:Oryza glumipatula chromosome 3, whole genome shotgun sequence.
UUUAAGUAAUAAUGAGUUUUUCGUCUAACUUUGGUCGUCCGUCUUAUUUAAAAAUAUUUUAUAAUUAGUAUUUUUAUUAUUAUGAGAUGAUGAAAUAUGAAUAGUACUUGUGACUUGUGUUUUUAUUUUUUUUAAUUUUUUUAAAUAAGACAGAUGAUCAAAAUUAAGCACAGAAAAUCAUGGUCGUACUUGAA